CAAUAGCGUAUAUUGAAGUUGCUGCGGUUAAAAAGCUCGUAGUUGGAUUUCUGGUAGGAGUGACCGUUCCGAACUUGAUUGUUCGUGUAUUGUGUUUUCUCCAGCCAUCCUUGUGGAGAACUUUUCUUGCAUUAAUUUGUAGGGAUUGGGACCCGCAUCGUUUACUGUGAAAAAAUUAGAGUGUUUAAAGCAGGCAAUCGCUUGAAUACAUUAGCAUGGAAUAAUAAGAUAGGACUUUGGUACUAUUUUGUUGGUUUGCAUACCAAAUUAAUGAUCAACAGGAACAGUUUGAGGAUAUUCGUAUGAACAUGUCAGAGGUGAAAUUCUUGGAUUUUGAUCAGACGAACUACUGCGAAAGCAUUUAUCAAGGAUGUUUNCAUUA
rnacentral:rRNA from 1 species